GAUCAAUCAUAACAUGCCAUUCUUGCUAUUUCAGAGACACAAAGUCAACAGAGACAAAGCAUAAGCUGCCUCUCUUGACUUUUGGAGGAACCAUAUUUGCCACAGCAAGGAUUGCAGAAGCUGCUCUUAGUGAGAGCUGUAAUCCACUGAAGGAGGCUGGAUAGAUUCAAAGCAAGGAGCAUUAUAUUUGCUAAUACCCUGU
rnacentral:lncRNA from 1 species